rnacentral:lncRNA from 1 species
GUUCUGAUAAAUCGUCUUUCACUAGCCAUCCUUUGAAGUGUCCGACUUCCAACGUCCAUGACGUUUAAAAAGUUUAUCUGAAAAACCAAACCUUGCAGCGGUAAUAGCACCACAAGAUACUAUAUAAUCCCUAUGUUUUUACAUCGGGAACAAAUGGAGAAAUUGCAUCAAAGAAAGUUCCCUAAUCCUUGUAUAGCUUAAAGGCUUAUUUGUUGAACGAAAAACAAAACAUUU